rnacentral:rRNA from 1 species
UACGUAGGGUGCAAGCGUUAAUCGGAAUUACUGGGCGUAAAGCGUGCGCAGGCGGCUUUGCAAGACAGAUGUGAAAUCCCCGGGCUUAACCUGGGAACUGCAUUUGUGACUGCAAGGCUAGAGUACGGUAGAGGGGGAUGGAAUUCCGCGUGUAGCAGUGAAAUGCGUAGAUAUGCGGAGGAACACCGAUGGCGAAGGCAAUCCCCUGGGCCUGUACUGACGCUCAUGCACGAAAGCGUGGGGAGCAAACAGG